rnacentral:rRNA from 1 species
AUUGAACGCUGGCGGCAUGCCUUACACAUGCAAGUCGAACGGCAGCACGGGUGCUUGCACCUGGUGGCGAGUGGCGAACGGGUGAGUAAUACAUCGGAACAUGUCCUGUAGUGGGGGAUAGCCCGGCGAAAGCCGGAUUAAUACCGCAUACGAUCUACGGAUGAAAGCGGGGGACCUUCGGGCCUCGCGCUAUAGGGUUGGCCGAUGGCUGAUUAGCUAGUUGGUGGGGUAAAGUCCUACCAAGGCGACGAUCAGUAGCUGGUCUGAGAGGACGACCAGCCACACUGGGACUGAGGCACGGCCCAGACUCCUACGGGAGGCAGCAGUGGGGAAUUUUGGACAAUGGGCGAAAGCCUGAUCCAGCAAUGCCGCGUGUGUGAAGAAGGCCUUCGGGUUGUAAAGCACUUUUGUCCGGAAAGAAAUCCUUGGCUCUAAUACAGUCGGGGGAUGACGGUACCGGAAGAAUAAGCACCGGCUAACUACGUGCCAGCAGCCGCGGUAAUACGUAGGGUGCGAGCGUUAAUCGGAAUUACUGGGCGUAAAGCGUGCGCAGGCGGUUUGCUAAGACCGAUGUGAAAUCCCCGGGCUCAACCUGGGAACUGCAUUGGUGACUGGCAGGCUAGAGUAUGGCAGAGGGGGGUAGAAUUCCACGUGUAGCAGUGAAAUGCGUAGAGAUGUGGAGGAAUACCGAUGGCGAAGGCAGCCCCCUGGGCCAAUACUGACGCUCAUGCACGAAAGCGUGGGGAGCAAACAGGAUUAGAUACCCUGGUAGUCCACGCCCUAAACGAUGUCAACUAGUUGUUGGGGAUUCAUUUCCUUAGUAACGUAGCUAACGCGUGAAGUUGACCGCCUGGGGAGUACGGUCGCAAGAUUAAAACUCAAAGGAAUUGACGGGGACCCGCACAAGCGGUGGAUGAUGUGGAUUAAUUCGAUGCAACGCGAAAAACCUUACCUACCCUUGACAUGGUCGGAAUCCCGCUGAGAGGUGGGAGUGCUCGAAAGAGAACCGGCGCACAGGUGCUGCAUGGCUGUCGUCAGCUCGUGUCGUGAGAUGUUGGGUUAAGUCCCGCAACGAGCGCAACCCUUGUCCUUAGUUGCUACGCAAGAGCACUCUAAGGAGACUGCCGGUGACAAACCGGAGGAAGGUGGGGAUGACGUCAAGUCCUCAUGGCCCUUAUGGGUAGGGCUUCACACGUCAUACAAUGGUCGGAACAGAGGGUUGCCAACCCGCGAGGGGGAGCUAAUCCCAGAAAACCGAUCGUAGUCCGGAUUGCACUCUGCAACUCGAGUGCAUGAAGCUGGAAUCGCUAGUAAUCGCGGAUCAGCAUGCCGCGGUGAAUACGUUCCCGGGUCU